GGCGGCAUGCCUAACACAUGCAAGUCGAACGAGAAAGUUCCUUCGGGAGCAAUUAAAGUGGCGCACGGGUGAGUAACGCGUAGACAAUCUGCCCUUCAGUCUGGGACAACUUUUCGAAAGGAGAGCUAAUACCGGAUAACAAUGCAUGACACAAGUUGUAUAUUUGAAAGCUUUAUGUGCUGAAGGAGGGGUCUGCGUUCCAUUAGCUAGUUGGUAAGGUAAAGGCUUACCAAGGCAACGAUGGGUAGCGGGUUUGAGAGGACGAUCCGCCACACUGGAACUGAGACACGGUCCAGACUCCUACGGGAGGCAGCAGUGGGGAAUAUUGCACAAUGGAGGCAACUCUGAUGCAGCAAUGUCGCGUGAGUGAAGAAGGCCCUUGGGUCGUAAAGCUCUUUUAUGGGGGAAGAUGAUGACGGUACCCCAAGAAUAAGCACCGGCUAACUAUGUGCCAGCAGCCGCGGUAAUACAUAGGGUGCGAGCGUUGUUCGGAAUUACUGGGCGUAAAGGGCGCGCAGGCGGAAUAGUAAGUCGGAGGUGAAAGCCCGGGGCUCAACCCCGGAGGGUCUUUCGAAACUACUAAUCUAGAGAGGGUCAGGGGCCGGCAGAAUUCCUGGUGUAGAGGUGAAAUUCGUAGAUAUCAGGAGGAAUACCGGUGGCGAAGGCGGCCGGCUGGGGCCACUCUGACGCUGAGGCGCGAAAGCGUGGGGAGCAAACAGGAUUAGAUACCCUGGUAGUCCACGCCGUAAACGAUGAGCACUGGACGUCCGGAGGGUUCGACCCUUCUGGGUGUCUCAGCUAACGCAUUAAGUGCUCCGCCUGGGGAGUACGGUCGCAAGACUAAACUCAAAAGGGAAUUGACGGGC
rnacentral:rRNA from 1 species